UUUGGGACCAGCGGCAAACCGGCUCCUUUCUCCGUCUCCUGUUAAUUUGCUUUCCUGACCCUGAAAUAUAACAAAUGGAUUUCAAAGGCUAUUUGUUUCAUUCCCUUUCUUUUUUAUUCCCUUUUACCUAUUAAUUUUGAGCCUUGAAACUGAAAUGCACGGAAUGCUAAGUAGUGUCCCGCUUUGGAUCCUGGAACAGGAAAAAAGUCCUUAGUAGAAAAACUGAAGAGAUCCUAAUACUGUAAAUUUAGGGUUUAGUGACUGCUUGUCUUGAUAACAAUUUCUCAAUUUUCAUAAAUAUAUUCUAACGCUAACCUGCAAUGAGUUUGGGUACAGACUAUAUAGGAGUGCUUAGCACUAUUUCACAACUUACUGUAAAUCUCAAAUUAUCCUAAAAUAAACUACACAUCCCACGGCGAAGUGAAGCAGACCAUUGUUCAUAAGGAGGGUUUGAGUUAGUCCUCCGCCCUGGCUGACAGGAAGUAGGUUCUGUUUGACCAAGUUGUUUGCUAAGCCGGGUUGUCGGGCUGCUGAGUGUGGACACGUCUGCCGUCUGCCGCACGUUUCCAGGCCGGAAUCUCUUCCCUCUCCUUUCCGAGCAUCGCGUAUCCUCGGAUCACCUGCUAUAGAUAAGCAGGAUUGAGGAGUCCAAGUGUUCCAGAGACCUGGCCUGGGGAAUUAAGUGUCAGCUUCUGCAGAAGUGGAGGAGGUUGAAGAAUGAGUCUAAAUCGUGGAUUUAGCAAUUAGGAAGUCAUCGGUCAUUUUCCAGAGUCUGUUCAUUCUGUGUCUCUUCCCGAGUGGCCGGAGGGCUAGGCAAGGAGCCAGGUAUGGUUUCCACUCUUGGCUCUACGACUUCCUACUCGUGUAAUUUUGGGUGAGUCAUUAUCCAUGGACUGGAACAGGAAAAUACAUCUCAAUCAACCAGAAGGACCCUUUCAUUUCUGGCAUCACUGAGCAGUCUGGAGAAUUGGCGGUCUGUGGCACACACUUUGGAAAUGGUGAUCUAGUAGCUUAGAGCGCUAAUGGACCCACAAAAAAAUCAUAUUUACCCUCCCUCCCUUUGAGAUUGGGUUUUGUUAUGUUGCCCCAGCUGGUCUUGAAUUCAUGGCCUUAAACUGUCUUCCUGCUUCAGCCUCCCAAGUAGCUGAGACUGCAGGUGUACACUCCCAUGCCUGGCUUAAUACUUGCAUUGAUUUGGCUACUGUAGUUCAUUUCAAAAGGAUCCUAUAGAGUAGUUAUGCUUAUAUCUUUGGAGAUAAACAGGCGGUGACAGUUAAGCUUCACUGUCAACUUGACUGGACUCUGAGGCUAAUGGAAAGGCGAUUGGCACACGGGGGCACAGUAGGCCCUAGUGGACUAACCCUCUGAUGCUCAGGGCUCAGUGUGUUGUCAGGGGUGGGGCCUGGUGGAGGUGGGUCAUUGGGUGCCUUGCAGGACUGUGGCUCGUGGGUGCUGCUUCCUAGCUGCCCUGGGUGGAGUGACUUUGCUCCGACAGGCCCUUCUGCCACGCCAUCUUGGCCUUGCAGCCAGUCAGCUGUGGAGCAAACCUGAAACCAUUAGCCAGCAAACCUUUAUUGAGCAGGCACUGUGUUCCGGAUACUGGUGUAGGUCCUGGAAGAGCGGUGAACCAGAAAGAACUGCUCGCCUGGCUGUGCUGCCCUCCUCUUGGCCUGGGGAGCAGGCGUGAGCUCUGAGAGAGACAUCCAGGCACCCAGUGCACACCACAGAGACCCCUGGCGUAGCACAGAGAUGGGGGGUGCUGCACCAGCUCCCCACAAGGAACGAGAUCAUUAUGUACUCCAGACAUGGACUAAUACAAAUUUUAAAAAUGGAAAAAAAUAAACUUCAAGAAGAGAGAGGGAGGAAAAAAAAAACCUGAGUCUCUUAUGCUGCACUUGAUUCCCUCCUUUGUAUUAGCUUCCUCUUAUUAUUUUAUUUUUUAUUUAAAAAAUUUAUUUAUUUUUUGUCCUGGGGAUCAAACUCGGGACCUCGAGUUUGCCAGGCAGGCACUGUGCCACUGAGCUAAAUCCCCAGCAGCUUCCCCUUUUUAUUGGCCCUGGUUUCAGUGGUGUCAUUUGAAAAAUAAGUGAAAUGUGGAGGAGUGCAUGAGAAGGAGGCCAUAGGUGCUACAAGAAUCAGCAGAGGGUGGUACGGCAGAGAGGGGCUGACGCCAGGUGUGUGCCAGGAAGGCCCCCUCGAAGGGGACACUGAAGUGGCCAGGAGCCAGGUGGGCAGGGAUCCAGGGCCCAAGCAGUCCAGGCCCACAGAAGAGGCGCGGGCAGGGCUCUGAACACGGGAUCUGCAACAGAAAGGGCCAGACGGGACAGGGACGCCUUCUUUCCCACCAAUUCACUAUCCCAAAUACAAAACCUCUGCUAGUCGGUCCAUACAGAAAUGGAAAAUGGACCAUCUCUUGACCCCUUUCCUUUCUGUAAAAGAUUUAUCUCCCUAUUUCCUAUUAUCUUGUCUUUAAAUUCGCUCUUUAUUUAUAUUUUGAGUUUCUCA